GAUGAAGAACGUAGCAAAAUGCGAUAAGUAAUGUGAAUUGCAGAAUUCAGUGAAUCAUCGAAUCUUUGAACGCACAUUGCGCCCCCCAGUAUUCUGGCGGGCAUGCCUGUUCGAGCGUCAUUUCAACCAUCAAGCCCUGCUUGUGUUGGGGUCCUGCGGCUGCCCGCAGGCCCUGAAAACCAGUGGCGGGCUCGCUAGUCACACCGAGCGCAGUAGCACAUCUCGCUCAGGGCGUGCGGCGGGCUCCAGCCGUUAAAGCACCCACCUUUCGCAAGGUUGACCUCGGAUCAGGUAGGAAUACCCGCUGAACUUAAGCAUAUCAAUAAGCGGAGGA
rnacentral:misc_RNA from 1 species